AGAAUAACAGAAAAUAGUCAAAUUCCAUUCACAUACAAAGCCACAGAGAAAAGGGAAGAGAAAACAGAAUUAAAAAAGAGUCUCAAAUGGCGUUGCAGUGGAUGAUACUCACUUACGUCGUCGCAGUGGAGGCGGUUCUUGCGGCGGUCUUAACUAUUCCAUCGCCGAAGCUUUUGAAGUAUCGAUUAGUCUCUCUCGUCUCUCUCCUUCUCCAACCUGCUCUCUUCAUCGUUCCUUUCGCUGGCUUCCAGCUCCUUGAUAUCUAUUGGAAGAAUGAGCAUCGCUUGAUGUGCACUUCUGAGAUCUGCACUGCUGCUGAGAGGGAUCGUUACGAGAAAUCGGUAAUUUUUUUCGCUUCUUACUUUACUUUCUAGAAGAUUUUGAUGAGGAAUGUGAAGGUGGAAUUUUGCUUUCGAUUAAGCUUAAAUUGUGUGAUUGUUUGGUGGUAAGGUCCCUGUUCUUUGAUUUUCAGUUCAAUAGCAAUGAUACUUUCGCAUGACUAGACUAACUAAUUGAGAUGAUAGGAAAAUGUCUUCUACUUCAAGCUUAAUGCUGCUGGAUCCUAGCAAAGAUAAUAAAAUAGUGUUCUAAUGUUUUCUUAAAGUUCAGAGAUUGUAUCAUUAAGGAAGAGACAUAUACCAAGAAAGAAGUGCAAAGUGAAUGUGCGAUGUAAUUUUGAAUUUUGGAUCUCAAGUUUCUUUGACAAAUGACAAUAUUACAGAAAGGAGGGUUCUAGCAGAGUUAGAUACUGUAUGGAAGAGGAAAAUGAUCUAAAUUUUGAAUUCUAUGUUUUAUGCUUUUGACCCUUUUUUUUCUCUAGUGUUUUGUGGCACCAACUGCAAUACUUUCUAGGAAUGUUAUUCUUAAUCCCAGGGAAGAACCUAUUAGCAGCAUUUUGUUUAUUCUUUGCAUUAACCAUAGACAAAGGGCCAAGAUUUGUACAUUUGUGUGUAUAAUUCUGGGGAUGAAACUUUUGGGGGUUCAUUUAUGUGUUUUAGGAUGCUUGAAACAUUAUUAAUGAGUGAUUAUGGUUUUUUUCAUUCUCAUAGUUUUAAAUGGGAUAGUGAAAGCGUAGAGUGCUUUGAGUUUUUAUUGCAUUAUGACGUGGACAUAAUUGCAAAGGUUGAAGGAUGCUUGGCAACAAACUAUUCCAGGUUCAUUUUGUUACUGUCUGUCGGAUGGUUUGCCGAUGAAGGGUAAAGAUUGAUUAUUGCCUCCAUAAUUAUAUCUUUGAAUGAGCAAAAAUGACAUAUCAAAUGACCCACCCAAAUCCAUUCAUUAUAAAUGUUUAUGAAUCAUUCAGAUAAUAUAGAUUUUUUUUUUGAAAAAUAAUAUAGAGAAUUUAAUUGUUCAUAAAUGAAUUAAUAUAAUUUAACUUAUUCUUGAAUGUAUUGGGUGGGGCUAUAUGUGGCUGUCCAUUUAAACCUAUUAAUAAAAAUGGCAUGUGCGUUUUUGCCUAAUUUGAAGUAAUACAGCUCAAUUAAGCCUUGACGUCAUAUUAGUCAGUUAGAUUUAUAGACCCUUUUUCUCCUUCCACCCAGUUUAAGAUUACCUCUUUUAAAAGAUUUAGGCAACUAAAUCCUCUCAUUACUUACCCAUGUCAUCCUAGCCCUAUUUUGCAAUUUCUUGUCUCCAGAGUGCUCUAACUUUUGUACCUGUAUGUUUGCUACUCUACAGUGCACAUGUUGAAACCAUCUCAAUUUCCAUUAUUUUCAGAUAGUUAUCCAUUGGCUAGUAAAUUAUUAAUUGUGUUAAGAACUUAAGAUUAGCCUAACUCAUUUUGAUGCUACUUAGCAUAUCCACCCAUUUUUCCAACUCAAUUUUGUGUUCAUUUUUUGCCUUUCAAUUUAUUACUCCCUCACUUGUGUAGUUGUGCCUUUAUUUUGUUUUACCUCCACUUUCUUUUCUACAUUGGCUUUUAACUUAUUAUCAUAAGAAAUUCAUGACAAAUUUAAGGAUCUUUUCUAUUUUCAUUUAUAUUACAAAACAAUGUUAAUAUAAAAAUUUAUUUAGCAUCAUAAAUAUCUAAAUAUUUUGUCUUUGAGGAGUUGGAAAACUAGGAUAAAGAUGAAUGUAAAAGAAAC
rnacentral:misc_RNA from 1 species